UAUACCUCGUUGACAAAUUAAAUUUACAAUAUUGAAAUAAGGGUGUCACGAUCAGGUACACGCAUCACGUUCGAUCGUCGACGAUCUUUCAAUAUAUAAAAUAUAUCGAUACCAAACGAUAUGACAUUUGUUAAAAUGCAUAUACGUAUUACGUACGUACACGUACACGUGCAUACAGAAAAAUUGAGAAAAAAAUAGCAAAAUAGAGCGUGGAAGAGAGAGAGAGAGAGAUGAAAGUUCAUUGUUUACGAGGAAGGACGUCUGUCCUAACAAACGGAGUUUUCGAUGAGGUCUCGUAUUUUUCUAUUCCUGUUGCUUUCUUUUAUUUUUUGAUUUUGAUUAUUUAACUAAUUAAAUUGUAAAAAUUUUAAUAUAUAUAUAUAUAUAUAUAUAUAUAUAUAUAUAUAUAUAUAUAUAAUAUUAUUACCCUGAAAGAAAAUGAGAAUGUUUAUAGCAUUUACUAGCGGACGUAUACAAAGCAAAUCUUAUUACAAUGUUUAUAUGUUUCUUUAUAAGCUGAUGUAUCUAAAUACACCUUAUCUUAUUUACUUUUGGUCGAAUAUCGUAUGAUAUCAGUCUUUCCGCAACCACAGAGUUGGAAACUUGAAAGAUCCCGUUUAAACAUACGUUUGUAAAUAGAUAGAUAUGUAUAUAUGUACAUAUGUACAUAACUAGACACAAUAUACACACCCACACACUCAUACACAAAGUAUAUAGUAGUCUUUCUCUUGGGUAUUGCUUGAGAUUUUAUUAUAUUGUAUAGACAGUAACGAGCAACCUUUGUUCUGCAAUGAGCCAAAAUUAAAUAUCUGAUAUUGUUAUUUAUAGAAUUCAUUAUGAACUAAAAAUGCUUAUAUUGAUUAAAAAAGGAAUUAAUGCUUGAUAGAAAAAGAAAAAAUUACACAUUAUUGAAGGGUAUUUGUUAUUUUCGGCAUCAAUUUACAAUGAAAUGUUUUCUAUAAUUCCAUUGAUUUUUUAUUAGCAAUACUUUUAAUGUGUACGCAUAAAUGUAUGUAUAUAUAUUUUUGUAAUGGAACGAAAUCUAUUAGUUGUUUAUUUUUAAUUACAUAUAUGAUUCUACUUCUCGUUAAUAAACUUUACAUUAUUAUAUUGGAAGAUACAUUGGAAGAUAUUGAAAUAAACUCUAAUACAAUCUUUUAUUCGUUUGUCGUUAAAGUUACGAGUUUUGAUAAAUGAUAUCGAUACUUCGGUUAAUAGUUAAAAUGCGUUUCAACUGGCCGUAGAUAACAAAGCUCUUCACAAAUGUAUCAACGUAAGAUGUAAUACCAGUGAUUAAGAAAUUCACUAAUUAGAGUCGACUAUUGUCAUUGUUCGAUGCAAAAUGUAAGUUGUAAUUGCAUUGAUACGUACAUGAAUACGUAUAUGAUAAUGUUUUUUUAUAAACCCUGAGUUACUCAUUUCUGAUACAGAUUCAGAUAUAUACAGAUAUAUAUAUGUAUUAUAUAUUAUAUAUAAUAUGUAUAUAUAUAUACAGAGAGAGAGAGAGAGAGAGAGAGAGAGAGAGAAAGAAAUGGUAAACGAAUCGAGAUUUUGAAUGAAACAAAGAACGAUAUCAAGAUUAAAUUGAAAAGAAACUUUGUUAGCUCUUGACAAAAAGGCAUUCGAUAAGGAAGCAUUAGCCCUCCAAAGUACAAUUAUAUCAAAGACCUAUUCAAAUGAAAGACGAUUACAUAGGUAUCCUAUUAUGAUACCUUAUACUUCUUAUUAUUCAUAUAAAAGAAAAGAAGAAGAAAAAAAACAGUUAAGAAGAUUAAGAAAGUAAUUUCAUGUUUAUUUCCCAAUAUCUUCAAUUAUGAUUGAUUUAUAAAGACAAUAAGAAUAAUAAUAACAAUAAUAAUAACAACAAUAAUAUGAAGAAGAAGAAGAAGAAGAAGAAUAAAGUAUCUUGUUAUAUUCAAUUUUGCUUUCUUGUUCUUAUGUAGUAUAUGUAUCUACUACAAUGUAAAUUUUAAUGUGGGAUUUUAUUUAAACGUGUCAUUUAAUGCGUAUUAUGAUUAAUAUGCAUUAUUCAAACACAUAUCAAUGUAUGUGUAUUUAAAUGAAUAUAGAAUUUAUACCUCGUUGACAAAUUAAAUUUACAAUAUUGAAAUAAGGGUGUCACGAUCAGGUACACGUAUCACGUUCGAUCCUCGACGAUCUUUCUGUAUAUAAAAUAUAUCGAUACCAAACGAUAUUACAUUCGUUAAAAUGCAUAUACGUAUUACGUACGUACGCGUACACGUGCAUACAGAAAAAUUAAGAAAAAAAUAGCAAAAUAGAGCAAGGAAGAGACAGAGAGAGAGAGAGAUAGAUGAAAGUUCAUUGUUUUCGAGGAAGGACGUCUGUCCUAACGAACGAAGUUUACGAUGAUGUCUCGUAUUUUUCUAUUCCUGUUGCUUUCUUUUCUUUUUUUGAUUUUGAUUAAUUAACUAAUUAAAUUAUAAAAAUUUAAAUAUAUAUAUAUAUAUAUAUAUAUAUAUAUAAUAUUAUUACCCUGAAAGAAAAAGAGAAUGUUUAUAGCAUUUACUAGCGGACGUAUACAAAGCAAAUCUUAUUACAAUGUUUAUAUGUUUCUUUAUAAGCUGAUGUAUCUAAAUACACCUUAUCUUAUUUACUUUUGGUCGAAUAUCGUAUGAUAUCAGUCUUUCCGCAACCACCGAGGUGGAAUGUUGGAAGAUCCCAUAUAAACAUACGUUUGUAAAUAGAUACAUAUGUAUAUAUGUACAUAUGUACAUAACUAGACACAAUAUACACACCCACACACUCAUACACAAAGUAUAUAGUAGACUUUCUCUUGGGUAUUGCUUGAGAUUUUAUUAUAUUGUAUAGACAGUAACGAGCAACCUUUGUUCUGCAAUGAGCCAAAAUUAAAUAUCUGAUAUUGUUAUUUAUAGAAUUCAUUAUGAACUAAAAAUGCUUAUAUUGAUUAAAAAAGGAAUUAAUGCUUGAUAGAAAAAGAAAAAAUUACACAUUAUUGAAGGGUAUUUGUUAUUUUCGGCAUCAAUUUACAAUGAAAUGUUUUCUAUAAUUCCAUUGAUUUUUUAUUAGCAAUACUUUUAAUGUGUACGCAUAAAUGUAUGUAUAUAUAUUUUUGUAAUGGAACGAAAUCUAUUAGUUGUUUAUUUUUAAUUAGAUAUAUGAUUCUACUUCUCGUUAAUAAACUUUACAUUAUUAUAUUGGAAGAUACAUUGGAAGAUAUUGAAAUAAACUCUAAUACAAUCUUUUAUUCGUUUGUCGUUAAAGUUACGAGUUUUGAUAAAUGAUAUCGAUACUUCGGUUAAUAGUUAAAAUGCGUUUCAACUGGCCGUAGAUAACAAAGCUCUUCACAAAUGUAUCAACGUAAGAUGUAAUACCAGUGAUUAAGAAAUUCACUAAUUAGAGUCGACUAUUGUCAUUGUUCGAUGCAAAAUGUAAGUUGUAAUUGCAUUGAUACGUACAUGAAUACGUAUAUGAUAAUGUUUUUUUAUAAACCCUGAGUUACUCAUUUCUGAUACAGAUUCAGAUAUAUACAGAUAUAUAUAUGUAUUAUAUAUUAUAUAUAAUAUGUAUAUAUAUAUACAGAGAGAGAGAGAGAGAGAGAGAAAGAAAUGGUAAACGAAUCGAGAAUUUGAAUGAAACAAAGAACGAUAUCGAGAUUAAAUUGAAAAGAAACUUUGUUAGCUCUUGACAAAAAGGCAUUCGAUAAGGAAGCAUUAGCCGUCCAAAGUACAAUUAUAUCAAAGACCUAUUCAAAUGAAAGACGAUUACAUAGGUAUCCUAUUAUGAUACCUUAUACUUCUUAUUAUUCAUAUAAAAGAAAAGAAGAAGAAAAAAAACAGUUAAGAAGAUUAAGAAAGAAAUUUCAUGUUUAUUUCCCAAUAUCUUCAAUUAUGAUUGAUUUAUAAAGACAAUAAGAAUAAUAAUAACAAUAAUAAUAACAACAAUAAUAUGAAGAAGAAGAAGAAGAAGAACAAAGUAUCUUGGUAUAUUCAAUUUUGCUUUCUUGUUCUUAUGUGGUAUAUGUAGCUAGUACAAUGUAAAUUAUAAUGUGGGAUUUUAUUUAAACGUGUCAUUUAAUGCGUAUUAUGAUUUAUAUGCAUUAUUCAAACACAUAUCAAUGUAUGUGUAUUUAAAUGAAUAUAGAAUUUAUACCUCGUUGACAAAUUAAAUUUACAAUAUUGAAAUAAGGGUGUCACGAUCAGGUACACGCAUCACGUUCGAUCGUCGACGAUCUUUCAAUAUAUAAAAUAUAUCGAUACCAAACGAUAUUACAUUUGUUAAAAGGCAUAUACGUAUUACGUACAUACGCGUACACGUGCAUACAGAAAAAUUGAGAAAAAAAUAGCAAAAUAGAGCGAGGAAGAGAGAGAGAGAGAGAUGAAAGUUCAUUGUUUACGAGGAAGGACGUCUGUCCUAACAAACGGAGUUUUCGAUGAGGUCUCGUAUUUUUCUAUUCCUGUUGCUUUCUUUUAUUUUUUGAUUUUGAUUAUUUAACUAAUUAAAUUAUAAAAAUUUUAAUAUAUAUAUAUAUAUAUAUAUAUAUAUAUAUAAUAUUAUUACCCUGAAAGAAAAAGAGAAUGUUUAUAGCAUUUACUAGCGGACGUAUACAAAGCAAAUCUUAUUACAAUGUUUAUAUGUUUCUUUAUAAGCUGAUGUAUCUAAAUACACCUUAUCUUAUUUACUUUUGGUCGAAUAUCGUAUGAUAUCAGUCUUUCCGCAACCACCGAGGUGGAAUGUUGGAAGAUCCCAUAUAAACAUACGUUUGUAAAUAGAUACAUAUGUAUAUAUGUACAUAUGUACAUAACUAGAUACAUAAUAUACACACCCACACACACAUACACAAAGUAUAUAGUAGUCUUUCUCUUGGGUAUUACUUGAGAUUUUAUUAUAUUGUAUAGACAGUAACGAGCAACCUUUGUGCUGCAAGGAGCCAAAAUUACAUGUCUGAUAUUGUUAUUGAUACAAUUCAUUAUGAACUAAAAAUGUUUAAAUUGAUUAGAAAAGAAAUUAAAACUUGAUAGAAAAAGAAAAAAUUUUACAUUAUUGAAGGGUAUUUGUUAUUUUCGGCAUCAAUUUACAAUGAAAUGUUUUCUAUAAUUCCAUUGAUUUUCUAUUAGCAAUACUUUUAAUGUGUACGCAUAAGUGUAUGUAUAUAUAUUUUUGUAAUGGAACGAAAUCUAUUAGUUGUUUAUUUUUAAUUAGAUAUAUGAUUCUACUUCUGGUUAAUAAACUUUACAUUAUUAUAUUGGAAGAUACAAUGGAAGAUAUCGAAUUAAACUCUAAUACAAUGUUUUAUUCGUUUGUCGUUAACGUUAAGACUUUUGAUAAAAGAUUUCAGUACUUCGGUUAAUAGUUAAAAUGCCUUUCAACUGGCCGUAGAUAACAAAGCUCUUCACUAAUGUAUCAACGUAAGAUGUAAUACCACUGAUUAAGAAAUUCACUAAUUAUAGUCGACUAUUGUCAUUCUUCGAUGCAAAAUGUAAGUUGUAAUUGCAUUGAUACGUACAUGAAUACGUAUAUGAUAAUGUUUUUUUAUAAACCCUGAGUUACUCAUUUCUGAUACAGAUUCAGAUAUAUACAGAUAUAUAUAUGUAUUAUAUAUUAUAUAUAAUAUGUAUAUAUAUAUACAGAGAGAGAGAGAGAGAGAGAGAAAGAAAUGGUAAACGAAUCGAGAAUUUGAAUGAAACAAAGAACGAUAUCGAGAUUAAAUUGAAAAGAAACUUUGUUAGCUCUUGACAAAAAGGCAUUCGAUAAGGAAGCAUUAGCCGUCCAAAGUACAAUUAUAUCAAAGACCUAUUCAAAUGAAAGACGAUUACAUAGGUAUCCUAUUAUGAUACCUUAUACUUCUUAUUAUUCAUAUAAAAGAAAAGAAGAAGAAAAAAAACAGUUAAGAAGAUUAAGAAAGAAAUCUCAUCUUUAUUUCCCAAUAUCUUCAAUUAUGAUAGAUUUCUAAAUACAAUAAGGAUAAUAAUAACAAUAAUAACAACAACAAAAAUAUGAAGAAGAAGAAGAAGAAGAAGAAUAAAGUAUCUUGGUAUAUUCAAUUUUGCUUUCUUGUUCUUAUGUGGUAUAUGUAUCUAGUACAAUGUAAAUUUUAAUGUGGGAUUUCAAUUAAACGUGUCAUUUAAUUCGUAUUAUGAUUAAUAUGCAUUAUUCAUACACAUAUCAAUGUAUGUGUAUUUAAAUGAAUAUAGAGUUUAUACCUCGUUGACAAAUUAAAUUUACAAUAUUGAUAUAAGGGUGUCACGAUCAGGUACACGCAUCACGUUCGAUCGUCGACGAUCUUUCUAUAUACAAAAUAUAUCGAUACCAAACGAUAUUACAUUUGUUAAAAGGCAUAUACGUAUUACGUACAUACGCGUACACGUGCAUACAGAAAAAUUAAGAAAAAAAUAGCAAAAUAGAGCGAGGAAGAGAGAGAAAGAGAGAGAUGAAAGUUCAUUGUUUACGAGGAAGGACGUCUGUCCUAACAAACGGAGUUUUCGAUGAGGUCUCGUAUUUUUCUAUUCCUGUUGCUUUCUUUUAUUUUUUGAUUUUGAUUAUUUAACUAAUUAAAUUGUAAAAAUUUUAAUAUAUA